rnacentral:lncRNA from 1 species
AUACAACCAUAAAUAUUUGGCAUUCACAACGAAAAAAUUAUAUUCAUUGGGAAAUUGUAACAAUGACUGACAGAAGAAGAGGAAAACCAACAACAAAACACUUGUGGAGUAGAGCAGAGUGUAGCUGGAGCUUUCAACAAAAAAAAAAAAUAUAAAACGAGAAGAGACGUGUGAGACGCACAACGUCACAACUUUUAUACAGGCAGGGGGAGGGCAGAGGCAGGGGCCGAGUGAGGCAGAAGCAGAGUGUGAAUGAGAGAAUGUAAAAAGAACAACAAAAGCUGCGGGACAGGGUGGGUUUAGCCACUGGAUAUUAAUUUCUCCAUUGUUGCUAUAAUAAUGAUCCGAUCGGAUAAAAAUUUGGUGAUCUGAUAGAUAUGUACUGUAGGUUUCGGAGGUUUUUGCCCUUUUGCGGAGGCGGAAGGGGGCGGGGCUAAUUUUUGAAAUACACUGGUUUCAGUGUGAGCAUACAGCAGUCCGGAGCCAACAUUUGGUGGCGGUUGUAAGCAUAUAUUACAUUUUUUGUUGUUUCAAAAUAACAUUAAAUUUAUCAAUAUUGCAGAAAAGAAGAGAACAACAGGUGGCAGGGGGAAAUAGUCAUCGGAGAUGGAGAGCCUGCUGAUAGAUCUCUGGCAGGAGAAUAUUGAAGAUCUGCGUGGAGCCAUGAAGGAGGCUGGGCUCGCGAUUGGAUGGGGAGAUGUUCGAGUGAAAGUCGAAAAUUUGCAAACAAUACGGUGGAGUACCAGCCUUUAUAAUUGUGAUGGUAGACUGCCUCAGCUCCUGGUGGUUUUUUUUCGAUUUGACAUCCAUCUACAAUAAAGGGAAACCCAAUUUACAUAUGUGUGUGCAUAUCUAUAGAUGUAUAAUGAAUUGUUCUAUUGCUUUCUUACCAAUUGCACCUAGACACUGUGGAAAUCCAAUCUGUUCGAAUCCUUGGACACAUUCGUCAAGUCGUUUCACAUCUUUCAAAAAAAUCCAAAGUUCCCCUUGGAGGGACUCAGUGUGAAGAGCCUAUUCUGAAUUAAAUUCAAGUUGUUUCAGUUAUAAUAGUCUUUUCCGAUGUUAACUAUCGCAUUUUUAUUUGUCCAUUUCGAUGAAUUUAAAAAGGUGAGUACUUCUAGAAUCUAGAUCUCAAUUGGAAAAAUGUUUCCCAUAUGAUCUAGAGUUGAUGUUUGGAGUAUGCUGAGUUUUUUUAAUUCGUUGGCUGGUCAAAGCAGAUUACUAUGGGUUCCUAGCGGUAUUUAGCUUACACAUUCAUUUUGAUUAGAAAAAGAUUCGCCGUAAUAAAAUAUACAUUUUGCUUGGAGUUAAGAUGUACAUAUAUCUUCAAACUAUCUCUCUGUACUCUUGUUGCUUAUGCUUGACCAACAUCGUCAUUCUAUGCUUCUUCAUUCGCAUUUUCUGCUUGUUCUGCAAUGAUGUGGAAAAUGAAUAUCGUAAUUUCUAAAGUAACAUUUAUGUUGCGCAUACUCAGUUAUUUGCAAUAUGAAUGAGAAAGCGUUCUCAAGGUUAUGGAACUCUUCCAUGCGUGCUCAUAGAGAUAAAGUUUUGUUGAAUGUGAUACAUCGCAUAUUUAUAUACAUAUGUACAAUGUAUGACAUGUUCUUCGGUUCUUUAUAUUGUAUUAAACAAGCACAACGUUAAAAAACUAACUUAUCUGUCUCCUUUACGCUCAACAUAAGAUACUUCCGUUACAUCUACUAAGGCGUAUGAAAAAAACGAGAAGGGACGUGUGAGACGCUUCUUACGCGUCACAACUUUUAUACCCGGAACUCAGUACAACAUCUGCACCUUAACGAUGUUUUGUCAAAUUUUAAAUCUUUUCUUCAUCUGUCAUCUACAUCUACAACACUUCUCACACCAACACGCUCCGGUAGCUCGCCGCCCUUCCCUAGACCCUCACACUGCAGAAGGCAGAGGCACCGUCCGCACACAAAAAAAAAAAAAACAAAUAAAAGCUGCGGGACGGGGUGGGUUAAAAGUCGGCAGAGGCAUCGGCAGGGGGAGGGCAGAGGCAGGGGCCGAGUGAAGCAGAAGCAGAGUGUGAAUGAGAGAAUGUAAAAAGAACAACAAAAGCUGCGGGACAGGGUGGGUUUAGCCACUGCAAAUUAAUUUAUUCAUUGUGGCUAUAAUAAUGAUCCAAUCGGAUCCCAAUUUGGUGUUUUCUUUUAUCUUCAAACUGUAGGUUUAGGAGGUUUUCGUAUAUAUAUUCUUGAUCAAAAUCAAUAGCCGAGUCGAUAGAGCCAUGUCUGUCUGUCCGUCUUGUUUGUCGGCUAGUUCUCAGAGACUAUAAGAACUAGAGUUACCAAAAAAGGACCAAGUCCAGACAGCUGUAUGCUCACACUGAAACCAGUGUAUUUCAAAAAUUAGCCCCGCCCCCGAAAAAUAGCGAAAACCUCCCAAACCUACAAUUUUGAAGAUAAAAGAAAACUAAAAACGCCAUUCCAUAGGGAACGGCCAUAUCUAUCAGAUCACCAAAUUGGGAUCCGAAUUUUGGAUCAUUAUUAUAGCCACAAUGAAUAAAUUAAUUUUGUAGUUUAAAGAGCAUUGACAAAAACUGACUAACUAAAGAUGAAACUAUUACAAUUCAAAUGAAAAUGAUUUAAUAUAUUGCUUAGUUAAACAAGUACUAAGCGAAAUGCAAUUGUACGUUGGAGCGAUUCCAAUAAAAUUACUUUUAACCAAACAAUCAUUCAAUCAGUCAAUCAAAUAUAUUUUUUAAUGUUCUAAAAUGUUUUAAUGGAUCUUUUAUUAUAAUUAAUCGUUUAAAUACCUUUUUUUUAUAAUAAAUACGACGUAAAUGGGUUCCAUUUUUUAUGGGGGCGGGAGGUAGGCGGGGUCCAUUUGACUACAUUUUUUUCGAUAUUCAACUUUAGUCUAACUAACAUUCAUGCCAAUUUGUAGAGCUUUAGCUGUAUUUUUUUGAUUAAUGCCAAAAAAACGGGCUGUUUACCCAUGGAGCAGUGGUCUGGUCUGAAACUACUUCAAAGUAAACCGACACGCAAACAAAACAAAUCGCAUCGAAUUUUCAAUGUCGUUGAUAAAAAAAACUUUUACACCUGGUACUCAGUAGUAAGCUAAAUUUUACAUUUCAUAUUUGUCUAGCUCGCCCCUCUCCCCUUGCAUGGUAGAAUUACUAAUAGGUAACGUCAUCAGCUGAGUGGAGGAUCACCAGCUUAUUCACCACGCUCUCUCAACUCUCAGAGAGGCAAGCGCUAGAGAGAGAUAGCAAGCGUUUUACGUUUUGCAUUCUUCGUUUUUAUUGUUUCUGCUGACAGCAAAGAAAAGAUGUUCAAUAAAAAAUAAAACGAAAUAGUUCAAAACAAAUAAUAACAUAGGCAUAGCAAACAAUAUGCUGCAGACAUGUUUAUUUCUAAAAAUACAAAUAAAACGUCCAAAAUAAAAUAGUAGUUGCAUGCAUAUUUCAUUGUCUUCCGCUACGUCUUCAUUCGUAAACAAUGAAGAAAAAGAAGAAGACAAUGAAAAAAAUCGUGCGCUACACAACCUCUUUCGUCAACGUUUGGCAAACGACUGACAAGCUGGUAUUCCUCGAAUGAGGAGCACCGUGGCGACAACGUCACCUAUUAGUAAUUUCACCAUGUCCCCUAGAGCCACACACUGCACGAAGCAGAGUGUGAAAUGAGAGAAUGUGAAACAACAACAAAAAACUGCUGGAUGGGGUGUGAGUAGCCACUGCAAAUUAAUUUCUUCAUUCUGGCUUUAACAUUGAUUCACUUCGGUGAUCUGAUAGAUAUGGUUCUUUCCUACGGAAUGGCAUUUUAGUUUUCUUUUAUCUUUAAAAUUGUGGAUACAGCAGAUUUUCGCCUUUGCGGGCGGAGGGGGCGUGACGAAAUACACUUGCAGCAGUGUGAGCAUACAGCCAUCUAAAUGCGACAUUUGGUGGCUCAGACAGACCUACAUGGCUAUAUAGACUCGGCUAUUGAUGCUGAUCAAGAAUAUAUAUACUUUAUGGGGUCGGAAACGUUUCCUUCUGUGCGUUACAUACAACCGUUAUUCACACAAAUACAAUAUAACCUAUUUACUNUGCACUCUUCGUUUUUAUUGUUUCUGCUGACAGCAAAGAAAAGAUGUUCAAUAAAAAAUAAAACGAAAUAGUUCAAAACAAAUAAUAACAUAGGCAUAGCAAACAAUAUGCUGCAGACAUGUUUAUUUCUAAAAAUACAAAUAAAACGUCCAAAAUAAAAUAGUAGUUGCAUGCAUAUUUCAUUGUCUUCCGCUACGUCUUCAUUCGUAAACAAUGAAGAAAAAGAAGAAGACAAUGAAAAAAAUCGUGCGCUACACAACCUCUUUCGUCAACGUUUGGCAAACGACUGACAAGCUGGUAUUCCUCGAAUGAGGAGCACCGUGGCGACAACGUCACCUAUUAGUAAUUUCACCAUGUCCCCUAGAGCCACACACUGCACGAAGCAGAGUGUGAAAUGAGAGAAUGUGAAACAACAAAAAAAAACUGCUGGAUGGGGUGUGAGUAGCCACUGCAAAUUAAUUUCUUCAUUCUGGCUUUAACAUUGAUUCACUUCGGUGAUCUGAUAGAUAUGGUUCUUUCCUACAGAAUGGCAUUUUAGUUUUCUUUUAUCUUUAAAAUUGUGGAUACAGCAGAUUUUCGCCUUUGCGGGGCGGAGGGGGCGUGACGAAAUACACUUGCAGCAGUGUGAGCAUACAGCCAUCUAAAUGCGACAUUUGGUGGCUCAGACAGACCUACAUGGCUAUAUAGACUCGGCUAUUGAUGCUGAUCAAGAAUAUAUAUACUUUAUGGGGUUGGAGACGCUUCCUUCUGUGUGUUACAUACAUCCACCUUUGUGCACAAAUACAAUAUACCCUAUUUACCCUUCGAGUACUGGGUAUAAAAAGGACGGAGAGCACGGAAGCAGUCCAGGCUUCCAUUUAAUGCAGCGGAUACAUGAUCGGACUGUCUGACUGCAUACCUCCUGCUCGUGAGAAUGCAGGUGAUGGACAUACAUAUAUAGCAUACAAAGCUACGCACGUAUUACGAGCGCUUUGUCAAAAGCAACGGAAACUUGGCAUCGUAUGAUAUAGGAGCUCAAGUUUUAGCUUUACACCAGUGUCUUAAUGGGUGAAUGGGUUCAACCUCUGAAGACUAGGACCAACUCUAGAUCCUCUUACAUGUUCUUUUCAAAUGUAAUACUUGGUCUCUUACAUGUUCUUAUAAAUCGGAACAUAUAACACAACACUUUAAUAGCCUUUUCACACUGGGCACCAUCAACCAUCCAUUUCUGGGAUGGUCCGAAAAUGUUCCAGUUAUUACAG